UAAUCAAUGAAAAAAUAAAGGACAGAGA
rnacentral:piRNA from 1 species